rnacentral:lncRNA from 1 species
UUUUUCAGGGUUGCUUUUUGACCGGGUCUCCUCGCCAUUGUAUUUUUUUUUUUUUUUUUGCUUAAAGAUUGCCACCUGAGCUAGCCUCUGUUGCCCAUCUUCCUCAGUUUCAGAGGGUGGAUUUCUCCGUGUUGCUUUUUCCCCAGGUCUCCACGCCCUUGUGUGUUUCUUUUGCUUAACGAUUGCCACCUGAGGUAGCCUCUGUUGCCCAUCCUCGUCAGUUUCAGAGGGUAGAUUUCUCAGUGCUGCUUUUUCCCCAGGUCUCCACGCCCUUGUGUGUUUCUUUUGCUUAAAGUUUGCCACCUGAAGCCAGCCUCUCUUGCCCAUCUUCCUCAGUUUCAGAGGGUAGAUAUUUCAGGGUUGCUUUUUCCCCAGGUCUCCACGCCUUUGGGUUUUGUUUUUGCUUAACGAUUGCCACCUGAGCUAGCCUCUCUUGCCCAUCUUCCUCAGUUUCAGAGGGUGGAUUUCUCCGUGUUGCUUUUUCCCCAGGUCUCCACGCCCUUGUGUGUUUCUUUUGCUUAACGAUUGCCACCUGAGGUAGCCUCUGUUGCCCAUCUUCCUCAGUUUCAGAGGGUGGAUUUCUCCGUGUUGCUUUUUCCCCAGGUCUCCACGCCCUUUGUGUUUUCUUUUGCUUAAAGUUUUGCCACCUGAGCUAGCCUCUGUUGCCCAUCUUCGUCCGUUUCAGAGGGUGGAUUUCUCAGUGUUGCCUUUUCCCCAGGUCUCCACGCCCUUGUGUGUUUCUUUUGCUUAAAGUUUGCCACCUGAAGCCAGCCUCUCUUGCCCAUCUUCCUCAGUUUCAGAGGGUAGAUAUUUCAGGGUUGCUUUUUCCCCAGGUCUCCACGCCUUUGGGUUUUUUUUUGCUUAACGAUUGCCACCUGAGCUAGCCUCUCUUGCCCAUCUUCCUCAGUUUCAGAGGGUGGAUUUCUCCGUGUUGCUUUUUCCCCAGGUCUCCACGCCCUUGUGUGUUUCUUUUGCUUAACGAUUGCCACCUGAGGUAGCCUCUGUUGCCCAUCUUCCUCAGUUUCAGAGGGUUGAUAUUUCAGGGUUGCUUUUUCCCCAGGUCUCCACGCCCUUGUGUGUUUCUUUUGCUUAACGAUUGCCACCUGAGGUAGCCUCUGUUGCCCAUCUUCCUCAGUUUCAGAGGGUGGAUUUCUCCGUGUUGCUUUUUCCCCAGGUCUCCACGCCCUUGUGUGUUUCUUUUGCUUAAAGAUUGCCACCUGAGCUAGCCUCUGUUGCCCAUCUUCGUCCGUUUCAGAGGGUGGAUUUCUCAGUGUUGCCUUUUCGCCAGCUCCCCACGCCCUUGUGUGUUUCUUUUGCUUAAAGAUUGUCACCUGAGCUAGGCACUGUUGCCCUGCUUCCUCAGUUUCAGAGGGUACCUUUUUCAGGGUUGCUUUUUGACCGGGUCUCCUCGCCAUUGUAUUUUUUAUCUUAUAUUUUUUGCUUAAAGAUUGCCACCUGAGCUAGCCUCUGUUGCCCAUCUUCGUCAGUUUCAGAGGGUGGAUUUCUCAGUGUUGCUUUUUCCCCAGGUCUCCACGCCCUUGCGUCUUUUUUUUUUCUGCUUAAAGGUUGCAACCUGAGCUAGCUUCUUUUGCCCAUGUUCCUCAGUUUCAGAGGGUGGAUUUCUCCGUGUUGCUUUUUCCCCAGGUCUCCACGCCCUUGUGUGUUUCUUUUGCUUAACGAUUGCCACCUGAGGUAGCCUCUGUUGCCCAUCUCGUCAGUUUCAGAGGGUAGAUUUCUCAGUGCUGCUUUUUCCCCAGGUCUCCACGCCCUUGUGUGUUUCUUUUGCUUAAAGUUUGCCACCUGAAGCCAGCCUCUCUUGCCCAUCUUCCUCAGUUUCAGAGGGUAGAUAUUUCAGGGUUGCUUUUUCCCCAGGUCUCCACGCCUUUGUGUUUUGUUUUUGCUUAACGAUUGCCACCUGAGGUAGCCUCUGUUGCCCAUCUUCCUCAGUUUCAGAGGGUGGAUUUCUCCGUGUUGCUUUUUCCCCAGGUCUCCACGCCCUUGUGUGUUUCUUUUGCUUAAAGAUUGCCACCUGAGCUAGCCUCUGUUGCCCAUCUUCCUCAGUUUCAGAGGGUAGAUUUUUCAGGGUUGCUUUUUCCCGGGUCUCCUCGCCAUUGUAUUUUUUAUUUUUAUUUUUUGCUUAAAGAAUGCCACCUGAGCUAGCUUCUUUUGCCCAUGUUCCUCAGUUUCAGAGGGUGGAUUUCUCCGUGUUGCUUUUUCCCCAGGCCUCCACGCCCUUGUGUGUUUCUUUUGCUUAACGAUUGCCACCUGAGCUAGCCUCUGUUGCCCAUCUUCGUCCGUUUCAGAGGGUGGAUUUCUCAGUGUUGCCUUUUCGCCAGCUCCCCACGCCCUUGUGUCUUUUUUUUUUGCUUAAAGGUUGCAACCUGAGCUAGCUUCUUUUGCCCAUGUUCCUCAGUUUCAGAGGGUGGAUUUCUCCGUGUUGCUUUUUCCCCAGGUCUCCACACCCUUGUGUGUUUCUUUUGCUUAACGAUUGCCACCUGAGGUAGCCUCUGUUGCCCAUCUUCCUCAGUUUCAGAGGGUGGAUUUCUCAGUGUUGCUUUUCCCCAGGUCUCCACGCCCUUGUGUGUUUCUUUUGUUUAAAGUUUGCCACCUGAAGCCAGCCUCUCUUGCCCAUCUUCCUCAGUUUCAGAGGGUAGAUAUUUCAGGGUUGCUUUUUCCCCAGGUCUCCACGCCUUUGGGUUUUGUUUUUGCUUAACGAUUGCCACCUGAGCUAGCCUCUGUUGCCCAUCUUCCUCAGUUUCAGAGGGUGGAUUUCUCCGUGUUGCUUUUUCCCCAGGUCUCCACGCCCUUGUGUGUUUCUUUUGCUUAAAGAUUGCCACCUGAGCUAGCCUCUGUUGCCCAUCUUCCUCAGUUUCAGAGGGUACCUUUUUCAGGGUUGCUUUUUGACCGGGUCUCCUCGCCAUUGUAUUUUUUUAUUUUAUUUUUUUUGCUUAAAGAUUGCCACCUGAGCUAGCCUCUGUUGCCCAUCUUCGUCAGUUUCAGAGGGUGGAUUUCUCCGUGUUGCUUUUUCCCCAGGUCUCCACACCCUUGUGUGUUUCUUUGGCUUAACGAUUGCCACCUGAGGUAGCCUCUGUUGCCCAUCUUCCUCAGUUUCAGAGGGUGGAUUUCUGAAUGUUGCUUUUUCCCCAGGUCUCCACGCCCUUGUGUGUUUCUUUUGCUUAACGAUUGCCACCUGAAGCCAGCCUCUCUUGCCCAUCUUCCUCAGUUUCAGAGGGUAGAUAUUUCAGGGUUGCUUUUUCCCCAGGUCUCCACGCCUUUGUGCUUUGUUUUUGCUUAACGAUUGCCACCUGAGGUAGCCUCUCUUGCCCAUCUUCCUCAGUUUCAGAGGGUGGAUUUCUCCGUGUUGCUUUUUCCCCAGGUCUCCACGCCCUUGUGUGUUUCUUUUGCUUAAAGAUUGCCACCUGAGCUAGCCUCUGUUGCCCAUCUUCGUCCGUUUCAGAGGGUGGAUUUCUCAGUGUUGCCUUUUCGCCAGCUCCCCACGCCCUUGUGUGUUUCUUUUGCUUAAAGAUUGUCACCUGAGCUAGGCACUGUUGCCCUGCUUCCUCAGUUUCAGAGGGUACCUUUUUCAGGGUUGCUUUUUGACCGGGUCUCCUCGCCAUUGUAUUUUUUAUUUUAUUUUUUUUUUUGCUUAAAGAUUGCCACCUGAGCUAGCCUCUGUUGCCCAUCUUCCUCAGUUCUAGAGGGUAGAUUUCUCCGUGUUGCUUUUUCCCCAGGUCUCCCCGCCCUUGUGUGUUUCUUUUGCUUAAAGAUUGCCACCUGAGGUAGCCUCUGUUGCCCAUCUUCGUCAGUUUCAGAGGGUAGAUUUCUCACUGUUGCUUUUUGCCAGGUCUGCACGCCCUUGUGUUUUGUUUUUGCUUAACGAUUGCCACCUGAGCUAGCCUCUCUUGCCCAUCUUCCUCAGUUUCAGAGGGUGGAUUUCUCCGUGUUGCUUUUUCCCCAGGUCUCCACGCCCUUGUGUGUUUCUUUUGCUUAACGAUUGCCACCUGAGCUAGCCUCUGUUGCCCAUCUUCGUCAGUUUCAGAGGGUAGAUUUCUCAGUGUUGCUUUUUCCCCAGGUCUCCACGCCCUUGUGUGUUUCUUUUGCUUAAAGAUUGCCACCUGAAGCCAGCCUCUCUUGCCCAUCUUCCUCAGUUUCAGAGGGUAGAUAUUUCAGGGUUGCUUUUUCCCCAGGUCUCCACGCCUUUGGGUUUUGUUUUUGCUUAACGAUUGCCACCUGAGCUAGCCUCUCUUGCCCAUCUUCCUCAGUUUCAGAGGGUGGAUUUCUCCGUGUUGCUUUUUCCCCAGGUCUCCACGCCCUUGUGUGUUUCUUUUGCUUAAAGUUUGCCACCUGAAGCCAGCCUCUCUUGCCCAUCUUCCUCAGUUUCAGAGGGUAGAUAUUUCAGGGUUGCUUUUUCCCCAGGUCUCCACGCCUUUGUGUUUUGUUUUUGCUUAACGAUUGCCACCUGAGCUAGCCUCUCUUGCCCAUGUUCCUCAGUUUCAGAGGGUUGGAUUUCUCCGUGUUGCUUUUCCCCAGGUCUCCACGCCCUUGUGUGUUUCUUUUGCUUAAAGAUUGCCACCUGAGCCAGCCUCUCUUGCCCAUCUUCCUCAGUUUCAGAGGGUGGAUUUCAGGGUUGCUUUUUUGCCAGGUCUGCACGCCCUUGUGUUUUGUUUUUGCUUAACUAUUGCCACCUGAGCUAGCCUCUGUUGCCCAUCUUCCUCAGUUUCAGAGGGUGGAUUUCUCAGUGUUGCUUUUUCCCCAGGUCUCCACGCCCUUGUGUGUUUCUUUUGCUUAAAGAUUGUCACCUGAGCUAGGCACUGUUGCCUGCUUCCU